rnacentral:lncRNA from 1 species
AUCAGCCUCACCUUUGCUGCUAAGCUGCUGUUUUCUAGCGAGUGGGUUCAAGUAUCGCUUCAUUUUGGUGUUUUCAUGCCAGGACUCCUGUGUGUGGGAGACUGACUGUUCUUUGCUCGAGCCCUGAACACGAAGCCGUGAGCUCCAGUAAGUAGUUUUUUCAAUGUGCAGAAGCCAUGUUUUUCCAAUUGAUUGCUAUUGGUUUUGUUUUGGAUUUUCAAACAGACGCUGAGCUCCUGGGUCUGGUUCCACCGCUUCCUGCAGCUGCCAGUGACCCCUUGGCUUCUCCAAGCUCUCACGUGACCAGCAGGUCAUCCUCCCUCACCAUACCAAACGUUGCCAUGACCAGAAGCUCCCUGAAGAAACCAAUGCUGACAGGGAAGUCAUGGGAAGAGGGCAGUGGGGAAACUGGAUGCCCAGGAUACCCUGGAGGGCCUGAUCCAGCGUCUCUGAUGCAGGUCGGCCCCUCUCUUCUCCCACGUCUUCUUCUUCUUCUCUCCUUUCGCCAUUGUGUGCCACUCAAAAUUCACACAGUCCCUCGGGUGCUCGGCUCCUUACGGACACAAAGGCCGACACACAUGCACAUAUUAUUCCUUCCUCGGGGCUGUGUCUGACUCCGGCAUGAAAUCAAUUUCGGAGCCUGCACCCUCCCACUACCCUUCUCCGGGCUCCCAUUUUCUCCCACCGUGAAGCGAGACCGUUCCUGUGCCAGCCUGAGAAGAAACCCCACCAACCCCAACCUCAUGCCCCGGUCCGGAUCCCAGAAUCCUUCAGUGCUGUGCCUGCUGUCGUCACCCAGUCCUGCUUUCUUCCUUCCAACCACCCACCUUUCACGUGUUUUUUGCCGCACAGGCCAAAUAUUGAUUUUGUGCGUCCUGUAAUAUGAUUGCAUGUUUUAAAUAUGCAAAUGGAGACCACACACUGUGAGUCAGUAAAGCGGUGUUUCAUUUUCACCCCACGCCUGCUGUUUUACUACCAGCUGUACCGUGUAAGUGGAAUACCUGCGAUAAUUAAA